AGUGAACGCUGGCGGUAGGCCUAACACAUGCAAGUCGAACGGCAGCACAGUAAGAGCUUGCUCUUACGGGUGGCGAGUGGCGGACGGGUGAGGAAUACAUCGGAAUCUACUUUUUCGUGGGGGAUAACGUAGGGAAACUUACGCUAAUACCGCAUACGACCUACGGGUGAAAGCAGGGGAUCUUCGGACCUUGCGCGAUUGAAUGAGCCGAUGUCGGAUUAGCUAGUUGGCGGGGUAAAGGCCCACCAAGGCGGCGAUCCGUAGCUGGUCUGAGAGGAUGUUCAGCCACACUGGAACUGAGUCGCGGACCGGACUCCUACGGGAUGCAGCAGUGGAGAAUAUUGGACAAUGGGCGCAAGCCUGAUCCAGCCAUACCGCGUGGGUGAAGAAGGCCUUCGGGUUGUAAAGCCUUUUUGUUGGGAAAGAAAAGCAGCAGGUUGAUACCCCGCUGUUCUGACGGUACCCAAAGAAUAGGCACCGGCUAACUUCGUG
rnacentral:rRNA from 1 species